rnacentral:rRNA from 1 species
AUUGAACGCUGGCGGCAGGCCUAACACAUGCAAGUCGAGCGGAGCGGCGGACGGGUGAGUAAUGUAUGGGACACUGCCUGAUGGAGGGGGAUAACUACUGGAAACGGUAGCUAAUACCGCAUACUAUCAGAUGAGCCUAGGUCGGAUUAGCUGGUUGGUGGGGUAAAGGCCUACCAAGGCGACGAUCCGUAACUGGUCUGAGAGGAUGAUCAGUAAUGCUGGAACUGAGACACGUUCCAGAUGCCUACGUGAGUCAGCAGUGGGGAAUAUUGGACAAUGGGCGAAAGCCUGAUCCAGCCAUGCCGCGUGUGUGAAGAAGGUCUUCGGAUUGUAAAGCACUUUAAGUUGGGAGGCGUUACCAACAGAAUAAGCACCGGCUAACUCCGUGCCAGCCGCCGCGGUAAUUC